rfam:Habropoda laboriosa contig12212, whole genome shotgun sequence.
GCUGCGGUGUCCGAGCGGUUAAGGAGAUGGACUUGAAAUCCAUUGGGUAUUACACCCGCACAGGUUCGAGUCCUGUUCGCAGCG